rnacentral:rRNA from 1 species
UGGGGAAUAUUGCACAAUGGGCGCAAGCCUGAUGCAGCCAUGCCGCGUGUGUGAAGAAGGCCUUCGGGUUGUAAAGCACUUUCAGCGGGGAGGAAGGCGAUAAGGUUAAUAACCUUGUCGAUUGACGUUACCCGCAGAAGAAGCACCGGCUAACUCCGUGCCAGCAGCCGCGGUAAUACGGAGGGUGCAAGCGUUAAUCGGAAUUACUGGGCGUAAAGCGCACGCAGGCGGUUUGUUAAGUCAGAUGUGAAAUCCCCGGGCUCAACCUGGGAACUGCAUCUGAUACUGGCAAGCUUGAGUCUCGUAGAGGGGGGUAGAAUUCCAGGUGUAGCGGUGAAAUGCGCAGAGAUCUGGAGGAAUACCGGUGGCGAAGGCGGCCCCCUGGACGAAGACUGACGCUCAGGUGCGAAAGCGUGGGGAGCAAACAGG